rnacentral:hammerhead_ribozyme from 1 species
GUACUGCUGAGGAGUUCCAUAAUAGGACGAAACAACCGUCCAGUAC